rnacentral:lncRNA from 1 species
UUUUCCUAAUCAAACUUGUAAAUAUACUUAACUAUACUUGACUUAACAUUUUCAUAAAUCGAAAAAGUAUUAACUCAUUCAAACCAUUUUUUAGGCCUUUGUGUCUUUCAAACAUAAUUUUUGUUAAAAAGCAAUGCACCCCACUUUGAAAUUUAUACCAUGAACUACGAGGUUUUGAUCCCUCAUUUUUAUGUUGGUACGUAGGCAUAAGUCUGAAGAUCUUGUCAAACAAAAAAAUAUAAUUAAU